AUUGAACGCUGGCGGCAGGCCUAACACAUGCAAGUCGAGCGGCAGCGGGAAAGUAGCUUGCUACUUUUGCCGGCGAGCGGCGGACGGGUGAGUAAUGCCUGGGGAUCUGCCCAGUCGAGGGGGAUAACUACUGGAAACGGUAGCUAAUACCGCAUACGCCCUACGGGGGAAAGCAGGGGACCUUCGGGCCUUGCGCGAUUGGAUGAACCCAGGUGGGAUUAGCUAGUUGGUGAGGUAAUGGCUCACCAAGGCGACGAUCCCUAGCUGGUCUGAGAGGAUGGCCAGCCACACUGGAACUGAGACACGGUCCAGAAUCCUACGGGAGGCAGCGGUGGGGAAUAUUGCACAAUGGGGGAAACCCUGAUGCAGCCAUGCCGCGUGUGUGAAGAAGGCCUUCGGGUUGUAAAGCACUUUCAGCGAGGAGGAAAGGUUGGUAGCUAAUAACUGCCAGCUGUGACGUUACUCGCAGAAGAAGCACCGGCUAACUCCGUGCCAGCAGCCGCCGCCGUAA
rnacentral:rRNA from 1 species